ACUAAAACGCUGUUCAGAGAGCAACUAAAUACACAAUAUGCUACAACACUACUAACUCUCAAAACAACUAACGACAACAACAGCAACAAACCAACCUGCUCUGCAAAGAAAAAUUCAGCGGAGGUGACAGUGGCGCGGUGGGUCGAGCAUCAACCGGAAAUUUGGAGGUUCGAAUCCCGGUGCCUACCGUCCACGUGUGAAAGUGCACUUGGGCAAGACACUGAACUCCCCCCGUCGCCCGUGAUGGGCCCUAGGCUCCAAACAUAGUUUCGUUGUACGUGAUAAAUAGUUAGUUUCUCCAGUGGUUGGCGCCGGAAAUACUGUUUAACAAAUGUUUACCAACGAAAAAGAAGACAAACGUGUUGCUGUGUGAGGUGAAACCAAAGCAGGCUUGGUCGAGCCAUGAGGAAGGUGCUUGUGGAGAGCACGACACCCCAUUGCUCUUUCCACCCGGUUGCCCAGCUGGUGUCACGGAGCACGUUGGAUGAUGGAGCACUCUCAUUCCGAGUUGAAAGAAUGCUGAAGCUUCUCGCGCUCGUGUCUGGGGUUGGCUAAUGAAGAAACGUCACCCAGUGCAGCAGUGUGUUUCACUGAUGUUUUUCAUCAUAUCAAGGUCUAUGGCACAGACGAACAAGCUGAUUGAGGACUGACAGACGUUCACUACUCAUCCACUUCAUAUUCUUGGUGAAAAUGAUUGGGCUGACUGUGCAAGACCCCAGCAAUAUGGCUUCCCAUUAAAUCACAAAGUAUGAAGUGAAGUGUGAAAUUAACUGAUGCGAUGACAUGUCAAGAUUGUUGAGGAGUGAAGAGAAUGGUCUAUAACAAUCCAUGGACGGUGUUUGCAUCCAUUUAAGCAAGGAAGUCUAUGUGACCUAAAACAAUAAUGUGGGAGUACAGUAGUGGAAAAGUGAGGACGGUUUGGUAACGUUUCCAUUUUGUGCUGUCUUACUAAGAGUUGGUGGGUUUAUUGGUACACAGUUUGUGUUGUGGCCACCUUUUACCUGUUGAGUUUGGUGGUGUUAGUCAUCCCACCCCAGUACUGCAAUAACAGCCCAACACUUUGCAAACCUGUAUUAGGAACAGUAUUCCUCCAAGGCGCUGCAUUUAACGUAACAAAACUUAACAUGUUGACAGUUAUUUUGUUCCGACAAAUCACCUUCUGUUAUACAGUGUAGUUUAAAAUAGACAAUCUGCGGGCAGUGUGUGCCUGCCACUCACACACAUGUAGGCACAGCAUCUCCAGAUAAGUGCGAUCUGUUGUCCUUUUGUGGUUUAAACCAAUUUGUAUACAAAGAGAUAAGUGUGUUCAAAUGGGCGCUGUUGGCAGAUUUGUAGCAGGAAAAUGUGAGGCAUACCCCAGAGAUUCAAGGGCAGAUGAACAUCAUAAGACUGUUUACAGGUACAAGUCUGUUUAAAUUUGAGCAUAGUAAGAAUCUAACUGAUGCUGAAUACUGUCAUUAUCCUAAAUGUCACUUUAAGUAGAGUCCAAGUAAGGUUAUGUUACCAUAGGGUUGAGGCAUCCUGACCCACUAACAUGGCAACUGCUGCUGCUUUGAUUCUUUUUCACUGCACAUAUGUGUCUUUGUCUUCAUCCCUUAUAACUUAGUCUUUUGGUUGAAAAGCAGCCAAGCUUUUUUAUAAUUACCACCGUAACAUAAGCUAUGCAUAGCUUAUGUUACGGUGGUAAUUAUGACAUAAUGAUGUGCACUCAUUGGCUAUUUAGUGACACACAUCAUUGCAUAAUCGGUGGGAAGAAUCUAAACAGCAGCUGCUGCUGUGAAAAUAAUGACACCUUGAAAUCACAUUGUCUGCAUGA